rnacentral:rRNA from 1 species
AUUUCUAGACUGAAUUACGCGGUGCUUACUCUCAUCCCUAAGAUCAAAGGAGCUGACUUGAUUUCCCAAUUUAGGCCCAUUGCUCUAAUCAAUAACUUCAUGAAGAUUCCGGCUAAGGGUUUGGCCACUAGGGUUUCUCCAAUCGCUCAUCGUGUCAUUAGACCUUCCCAAUCCGCUUUUAUAAAAGGGAGAUUCAUACUGGACGGGGUUCUUUGCUUGCAUGAGAUUGUUCAUGACUUGCGGGCCAAGGGCACUCGGGCUGUAGUUCUUAAACUUGACUUUGAAAAGGCUUACGAUUCGGUGAGCUGGAAUUUCCUUCAUCAGGUUCUU